GACGAACCGUGCAAACGUUAUUCGGAAUCACUGGCAUAAAGGGCGCGUAGGCGGCUCCAAAAGUCAGGGGUGGAAAUCCGGCAGCUUAACUGUCGCAUGUGCCCUUUAGAUACUGUGGAGCUAGAGGGAGGUAGGGGUCUGUGGAACUUCCGGUGGAGCGGUGAAAUGCGUUGAUAUCGGAAGGAACGCCGGUGGCGAAAGCGACGGACUGGAUCUCUUCUGACGCUGAGGCGCGAAAGCCAGGG
rnacentral:rRNA from 1 species